UUGGCUCAGGAUGAACGCUGGCGGCGUGCCUAAUACAUGCAAGUCGAGCGGCAGCGAGGGUUUCACCCUGUUCUCAAUGAUUUGAGGGUAGAGUGAAACCUGUCGGCGAGCGGCGGACGGCUGAGUAACGCAUGGGAACGCACCCCAAACUGAGGGAUAACCAGUCGAAAGAUUGGCUAAUACCGCAUGUGGUCUUCGGAUUAAAGCCUUCGGGCGGUUUGGGAGCGGCCUGUGUACGAUUAGAUAGUUGGUGAGGUAAUGGCUCACCAAGUCGACGAUCGUUAGAUGGUUUGAGAGGAUGAUCAUCCAGACUGGGACUGAGACACGGCCCAGACUCCUACGGGAGGCAGCAGUGGGGAAUA
rnacentral:rRNA from 1 species